AAGGCCUUUUUCUAAAAAUGCCUAUUAAUUACCAGUAUUAUCAGGUUAAUAUUCUUUAUUUUAAUUGACAGGUAUUGGAAAGAGUUGGGAUAGAAUGUCACCGAUCGUACCAGCAUUGUCUCCUUCCCCAUUCAAUGACCGGUUCACAGAAAUAGCUGAAGGAAACUCAGAUGUGCCUAUAUAACUUUAGUGUGGCAGGUUGGUAGCAUGGCUGCUCCUCAUUUAUAUUUAAUGAUUAUAACAUUAUGGUACUAUUUGUUUAUUUAAAGAUGAACUUCUGUGCUCAGUCAAACUUUAGACACAUUAUUUAAACAUAAGUCAAUUUGCCAAUCAUGUAUUUGUGGCUAUUUUCUUCCAUAAAUAGUUAAUAAUUAAAGAGAAAUGUUUGUAAACAAGAGCUUUUUCUCUCAACACUCAUCUCCUUCUCCUGCUCGUUCAUACUAAGAGGUCAUCACAAGCUACCCUGUAACUUUAGGAUCUUUCUGGCUUUGGAAAUGUAUAUA
rnacentral:lncRNA from 1 species